UUUUCUAAAUGAUGUAUGGAUUAUCAAGUAAACCUUAAGUUGCUUAAGUGUUCAUCUUGAAAUAUCACUUACAAUAUAAUGUUAUUCUUAGAUUUACUUAUUUAUAAAAAUCUGUAAAAUGACCCGAAGGUGGACAUUUUAACAAUAAAUCUAAAAGGCCUUUUACUUGCUAAAAAAGUAUAAAUCAUUAACCAGGCAAUAGAAGUCAUGUACAGUAGAAGAUUAUGUACAGCAGGUUUUCAGAAAGGGUUUGAACAUUUUGAUAAGUUAGAGGCCUUUGCAUGAUUGCAUGAAUAUUAUUGUAGGAGAAAUCCUCCCUCAUGUCAUGCAAUAAAUAUUUCAUGAAAUCUAUCAAGACUGUACCACUGGACUAACAUAACACAUAUGUUUCAACUUUUCCUUGUUUAAAUGUAUAUAAUGUCAUGUAUAGAACCCAAGCGGAGCUGAACAGAGAGCCCAGAGACUUUUUAACAGCACAUGAAUAUAAAGAAGUGGAGAGAGAUGAUCUCAGGAGACCAAAUAAAAGUUCUGAACUAGGGUUCAUAAGGUGUCAUGGAUCAUGCUGGUGCGGAUCAGCAACUGACAGUCCAGAAAAGCAUAGUUCUGAAGGACCAUUCCAAGAACCCCAUCAAAGAAAUUAAAAGGAAAAAUAACAAGCACCAAAUAUAGGGCAAUUUCUUCAAAUCUUCUGCUUGUUCUUAGUCCAUAAUAAGAACAGAAAAGCUGUUUUGUUUAUUUUGAAUGAAUCAAACCAGUUGGUGCCAGGAAAUGAUUUGGAGCGCAAACACUUUUAAUGACUUAACUGAAAGAUGUUGCUUAAAUCAUUUAAAGAUGUAUGUGAGUGCAUGUGUGAUUCUACCAGUUUGUUUUUUAGAGAUUUUAUAUAGGACAUCUGAGUCAAACUAACAUUUGGACUAAAGCAGCCAAAGUAGUGACAUCACUUGCUCUCCGAUACAAUAUUGUUUACAAUUUUCUGUUUGUUACCCAGAUUUUGGACUUCUGUUUUGGAUUACUCACAUUUGGGUAUUGGCUUUUUGAUUUGGAUUGCAGAAUAAAUCGAUACAGUCGGGUCCUUCUGAUUCA
ensembl:lncRNA